UACAGAGGGGGCAAGCGUUGUUCGGAAUUACUGGGCGUAAAGGGCGCGUAGGCGGCCUGCUAAGUCGAACGUGAAAUCCCUGGGCUCAACCCAGGAACUGCGUCCGAUACUGGUUGGCUUGAAUCCGGGAGAGGGACGUGGAAUUCCAGGUGUAGCGGUGAAAUGCGUAGAUAUCGGGAGGAACACCAGUGGCGAAGGCGACUACCUGGCCUGUUUCUUGACGCUGAGGCGCGAAAGCUAGGGGAGCAAACGGG
rnacentral:rRNA from 1 species